rnacentral:rRNA from 1 species
AACGUGGAGGAAGGUGGGGAUGACGUCAAAUCAUCAUGCCCCUUAUGUCUAGGGCUACACACGUGCUACAAUGGCUGGUACAACGAGCAGCAAACCCGCGAGGGGGAGCAAAACUUGAAAGCCAGUCUCAGUUCGGAUUGUAGGCUGAAACUCGCCUACAUGAAGUUGGAGUUGCUAGUAAUCGCGAAUCAGCAUGUCGCGGUGAAUACGUUCCCGGGUCUUGUACACACCGCCCGUCACACCAUGAGAGCCGGUAACACCCGAAGCCCGUGAGGUAACCGUAAGGAGCCAGCGGUCGAAGGUGGGAUUGGUGAUUGGGGUGAAGUCGUAACAAGGUAGCCGUAGGAGAACCUGCGGCUGGAUCACCUCCUUUCUAGGGA